rnacentral:rRNA from 1 species
GCUUACGGCCAUACCACCCUGAACGCGCCCGAUCUCGUCUGAUCUCGGAAGCCAAGCAGGGUCGGGCCUGGUCAGUACUUGGACGGGAGACCGCCUGGGAAUCCAGGUGCUGUAAGCU